GAUGAAGAACGCAGCGAAAUGCGAUAAGUAGUGUGAAUUGCAGAAUUCAGUGAAUCAUCGAAUCUUUGAACGCACAUUGCGCCCCUUGGUAUUCCAUGGGGCAUGCCUGUUCGAGCGUCAUUUGUACCUUCAAGCUCUGCUUGGUGUUGGGUGUUUGUCUCGCCUCUGCGUGUAGACUCGCCUCAAAAUAAUUGGCAGCCGGCGUAUUGAUUUCGGAGCGCAGUACAUCUCGCGCUUUGCACUCAUAACGACGACGUCCAAAAGUACAUUUUUACACUCUUGACCUCGGAUCAGGUAGGGAUACCCACUGAACUUAAGCAUAUCAAUAAGCGGAGGA
rnacentral:misc_RNA from 1 species